GCAAGUCGAGGGGCAGCAUUAAAUUUAUUUAUAAUAAAUUUUGAUGGCGACCGGCGUACGGGUGCGUAACACGUACGUAACCUACCUUUUGCUAGAAAAUAGCCUGAGGAAACUUAGAUUAAUGUUCUAUAGUAUAACAGAAUCGCAUGAUUCUGUUAUUAAAGUAGCAAUACGGCAAAAGAUGGGCGUGCGUCCGAUUAGUUAGUUGGUAAGGUAAAGGCUUACCAAGACAGUGAUCGGUAGGGGGCCUGAGAGGGUGAUCCCCCACACUGGUACUGAGACACGGACCAGACUCCUACGGGAGGCAGCAGUGAGGAAUAUUGGUCAAUGAAGGAAACUCUGAACCAGCCACGCCGCGUGCAGGAAGAAUGCCUUACGGGUUGUAAACUGCUUUUGUUUAGGAAUAAAAAUUCUUACGUGAUAAGGAUUGUGAAUGUACUAUACGAAUAAGUGUCGGCAAACUCCGUGCCAGCAGCCGCGGUAAUACGGAGGACACGAGCGUUAUCCGGAUUUAUUGGGUUUAAAGGGUGCGUAGGCGGUUUAUUAAGUCAGUAGUGAAAUAUUGCAGCUUAACUGUUAAAAUGGCUAUUGAUACUGAUAGACUUGAGUGAGAUUGGGAGUAGCUGGAAUGUGUGGUGUAGCGUGAAAUGCAUAGA
rnacentral:rRNA from 1 species